UGAGGAAUAUUGGUCAAUGGCCGAAAGGCUGAACCAGCCAUCCCGCGUGCAGGAUGACGGCCCUAUGGGUUGUAAACUGCUUUUGUACCUGAAGAAACCUGGUUACGAGUAACCAGUUGCCGGUAAGGUAUGAAUAAGCAUCGGCUAACUCCGUGCCAGCAGCCGCGGUAAUACGGAGGAUGCAAGCGUUAUCCGGAUUCAUUGGGUUUAAAGGGUGCGCAGGUGGGAAAAUAAGUCAGUGGUGAAAUACUGCCGCUUAACGGUAGAAUUGCCAUUGAUACUGUUUUUCUUGAGUAUGGUUGAGGUAGGUGGAAUGUGUUGUGUAGCGGUGAAAUGCAUAGAUAUGACACAGAACGCCGAUUGCGAAGGCAGCUUACUAAGCCAUUACUGACGCUGAGGCACGAAAGCGUGGGGAUCAAACA
rnacentral:rRNA from 1 species